rnacentral:rRNA from 1 species
GACGAACGUUGGCGGCGUGCCUAACACAUGCAAGUCGAACGGAAAGGCCCUGCUUUUGUGGGGUGCUCGAGUGGCGAACGGGUGAGUAACACGUGAGUAACCUGCCCUUGACUUUGGGAUAACUUCAGGAAACUGGGGCUAAUACCGGAUAGGAGCUCCUGCUGCAUGGUGGGGGUUGGAAAGUUUCGGCGGUUGGGGAUGGACUCGCGGCUUAUCAGCUUGUUGGUGGGGUAGUGGCUUACCAAGGCUUUGACGGGUAGCCGGCCUGAGAGGGUGACCGGCCACAUUGGGACUGAGAUACGGCCCAGACUCCUACGGGAGGCAGCAGUGGGGAAUAUUGCACAAUGGGCGGAAGCCUGAUGCAGCAACGCCGCGUGCGGGAUGACGGCCUUCGGGUUGUAAACCGCUUUCGCCUGUGACGAAGCGUGAGUGACGGUAAUGGGUAAAGAAGCACCGGCUAACUACGUGCCAGCAGCCGCGGUGAUACGUAGGGUGCGAGCGUUGUCCGGAUUUAUUGGGCGUAAAGGGCUCGUAGGUGGUUGAUCGCGUCGGAAGUGUAAUCUUGGGGCUUAACCCUGAGCGUGCUUUCGAUACGGGUUGACUUGAGGAAGGUAGGGGAGAAUGGAAUUCCUGGUGGAGCGGUGGAAUGCGCAGAUAUCAGGAGGAACACCAGUGGCGAAGGCGGUUCUCUGGGCCUUUCCUGACGCUGAGGAGCGAAAGCGUGGGGAGCGAACAGGCUUAGAUACCCUGGUAGUCCACGCUGUAAACGGUGGGUACUAGGUGUGGGGUCCAUUCCACGGGUUCCGUGCCGUAGCUAACGCUUUAAGUACCCCGCCUGGGAGUACGGCCGCAAGGCUAAAACUCAAAGGAAUUGACGGGGCCCCGCACAAGCGGCGGAGCAUGCGGAUUAAUUCGAUGCAACGCGUAGAACCUUACCUGGGUUUGACAUGGAUCGGGAGUGCUCAGAGAUGGGUGUGCCUCUUUUGGGGUCGGUUCACAGGUGGUGCAUGCCUGUCGUCAGCUCGUGUCGUGAGAUGUUGGGUUAAGUCCCGCAACGAGCGCAACCCUUGUUCACUGUUGCCAGCACGUUAUGGUGGGGACUCAGUGGAGACCGCCGGGGUCAACUCGGAGGAAGGUGGGGAUGACGUCAAGUCCUCAUGCCCCUUAUGUCCAGGGCUUCACGCAUGCUACAAUGGCUGGUACAGAGAGUGGCGAGCCUGUGAGGGUGAGCGAAUCUCGGAAAGCCGGUCUCAGUUCGGAUUGGGGUCUGCAACUCGACCUCAUGAAGUCGGAGUCGCUAGUAAUCGCAGAUCAGCAACGCUGCGGUGAAUACGUUCCCGGG